rnacentral:rRNA from 1 species
UACGUAGGGGGCAAGCGUUGUCCGGAUUUAUUGGGCGUAAAGGGUGCGUAGGCGGUUUGGUAAGUCUCGUGUGAAAUCUCCGGGCUCAACUCGGAGCCUGCACGAGAAACUGCCGGGCUUGAGUGUGGGAGAGGUGAGUGGAAUUCCUGGUGUAGCGGUGAAAUGCGUAGAUAUCAGGAGGAACACCAAUGGCGAAGGCAGCUCGCUGGGACGGUACUGACGCUGAGACGCGAAAGCGUGGGGAGCAAACAGG